rnacentral:tRNA from 1 species
GUAUCCUUAAUUCAGGGGGCAAGAAUAUGGGCCUUGUAAGCCAUGACUCUCUGAGUUCAAAUCUCAGUGGAGGCU